GUCCACGCCGUCAACGAUGAUAACUAGAUGUUGGGGAGCUUGCUCCUUAGUAUCGAAGCUAACGCGUUAAGUUAUCCGCCUGGGGAGUACGGCCGCAAGGUUAAAACUCAAAGAAAUUGACGGGGCCCGCACAAGCGGUGGAGCAUGCGGUUUAAUUCGAUGCAACGCGAAGAACCUUACCUGCUCUUGACAUCUUCGGAAUCUUCUAGAAAUAGAUGAGUGCCUUCGGGAACCGAAAGACAGGUGCUGCAUGGCUGUCGU
rnacentral:rRNA from 1 species